rnacentral:rRNA from 1 species
UGGGGAUAUUGCACAAUGGGGAAAGCCCUGAUGCAGCGACGCCGCGUGAGUGAAGAAGUAUUUCGGUAUGUAAAGCUCUAUCAGUAGGGAAGAGAUUGACGGUACCUGACUAAGAAGCCCCGGCUAACUACGUGCCAGCAGCCGCGGUAAUACGUAGGGGGCAAGCGUUAUCCGGAUUUACUGGGUGUAAAGGGAGCGUAGACGGUAAAGCAAGUCUGAAGUGAAAGCCCGCGGCUCAACUGCGGGACUGCUUUGGAAACUGUUUAACUGGAGUGCUGGAGAGGUAAGCGGAAUUCCUAGUGUAGCGGUGAAAUGCGUAGAUAUUAGGAGGAACACCAGUGGCGAAGGCGGCUUACUGGACGGUAACUGACGUUGAGGCUCGAAAGCGUGGGGAGCAAACAGGAUUAGAUACCC